rnacentral:rRNA from 1 species
AGUUUGAUCAUGGCUCAGAACGAACGCUGGCGGCAGGCCUAACACAUGCAAGUCGAGCGAACCCUUCGGGGUUAGCGGCGGACGGGUUAGUAACGCGUGGGAAUAUACCCUUUGGUACGGAAUAGCCUCGGGAAACUGAGAGUAAUACCGUAUGUGCCCUUCGGGGGAAAGAUUUAUCGCCAAAGGAUUAGCCCGCGUUGGAUUAGAUAGUUGGUGGGGUAAUGGCCUACCAAGUCUACGAUCCAUAGCUGGUUUGAGAGGAUGAUCAGCAACACUGGGACUGAGACACGGCCCAGACUCCUACGGGAGGCAGCAGUGGGGAAUCUUAGACAAUGGGCGCAAGCCUGAUCUAGCCAUGCCGCGUGGACGAUGAAGGCCUUAGGGUUGUAAAAUCCUUUCAGAUGGGAAGAUAAUGACGGUACCAUCAGAAGAAGCCCCGGCUAACUCCGUG